rnacentral:misc_RNA from 1 species
GUAUAGAUUUCAUAAGGCACAAACAUUCUAUUAACAUACAUUGGAGUAAAUGCAGAAGCAACAUAGACCAUGGAACAUCCAGGGCCUACAAAAGGUGCACAGGUGGAGAUAUAUAAAGAUGACAAGGUGUGCACAUGCUCCCUAGAGAACCAGCAACAACCCCAUCAGGUUUAUUUCAAUAAUGAUCCUUCCGCAGGUUCACCUACGGAAA